rnacentral:rRNA from 1 species
GAGCGGUAACAGGUGUAGCAAUACAUGCUGACGAGCGGCGAACGGGUGAGUAAUGCUUCGGAAUCUACCCUCUAGUGGGGAAUAACCAGCCGAAAGGUUGGCUAAUACCGCAUACGUCCUACGGGAGAAAGCAGGGGAUCGUAAGACCUUGCGCUGAUGGAUGAGCCGAAGUCGGAUUAGCUAGUUGGCGGGGUAACGGCCCACCAAGGCUACGACGCGUAGCUGGUCUGAGAGGAUGGCCAGCCACAUUGGGACUGAGAUACGGCCCAGACUCCUACGGGAGGCAGCAGUGGGGAAUAUUGCGCAAUGGCCGCAAGGCUGACGCAGCGACGCCGCGUGUGGGAUGAAGGCCUUCGGGUUGUAAACC